AGUGAACGCUGGCGGUAGGCCUAACACAUGCAAGUCGAACGGCAGCACAGUAAGAGCUUGCUCUUACGGGUGGCGAGUGGCGGACGGGUGAGGAAUACAUCGGAAUCUACUUUUUCGUGGGGGAUAACGUAGGGAAACUUACGCUAAUACCGCAUACGACCUACGGGUGAAAGCAGGGGAUCUUCGGACCUUGCGCGAUUGAAUGAGCCGAUGUCGGAUUAGCUAGUUGGCGGGGUAAAGGCCCACCAAGGCGACGAUCCGUAGCUGGUCUGAGAGGAUGAUAAGCAACACGGGAGAGGAGACAAGGUCAAGACGCCGAGGGGGGGAGGCAGGGGGGAAUAUUGAAAAAGGGGCGAAAGCUGGAUCAAGCCAUCCCGCGUGGGGGAAAAAGGCCUGGGGGUUGAAAAGCCGUUUUGUGGGAAAAAAAAAGCAGAAGGUAAAAACCCCGGUGUUGGGACGGAACAAAAAAAAAAAACACCGGCAACCUUGGUG
rnacentral:rRNA from 1 species